CCUACGGGAGGCAGCAGUGAGGAAUAUUGGUCAAUGGGCUUACGCCUGAACCAGCCAAGUCGCGUGAGGGAAGACUGCCCUAUGGGUUGUAAACCUCUUUUGUCAGGGAGCAACGCCGGCUACGUGUAGCCGGACUGAGAGUACCUGAAGAAAAAGCAUCGGCUAACUCCGUGCCAGCAGCCGCAGUAAUACGGAGGAUGCGAGCGUUAUCCGGAUUUAUGGGGUUAAAAGGGUGCGUAGGCGGAAUGCCAAGUCAGCGGUAAAAUCGCGGGGCUCAACCUCGCUCCGCCGUUGAAACUGGCGUUCUUGAGUGGGCGAGAAGUAUGCGGAAGGCGUGGUGUAGCGGUGAAAUGCAUAGAUAUCACGCAGAACUUCGAUUGCGAAGGAAGCAUACCGGCGCCCAAAUGACGCUGAAGCACGAAAGCGUGGGUAUCGAACAGGAUUAGAUACCCGUGUAGUC
rnacentral:rRNA from 1 species